GUGUGCUGGAAUCCACUGGAAUGUCUUUACAAGGUGUCAAAACUCCGGGAACUCCACUCUCCUUGGCAGCAGAGAGAGAAAGGAUAAAGUGGUCCUGGGAGUUGUGUGGAAGGGAGGACCUGGGGGAGCGUCUGUCACAAUUACAGAUGGGACAAUGGUCUGCGUGAUGGAGUCCAAGACUUCGUGUCAUGUUGUGAAUGCAACAUGUUCGACAGUAUUCCUGCCGAGGAAGUAUCUUCGAUGAUGGAUUUUGGCCGGGUUGAGAAGGCGAAAAGCCCGUGCAACUACAUUUAGAAAGAAGGUACUUAG